GCUCAGAUUGAACGCUGGCGGCAGGCCUAACACAUGCAAGUCGAACGGUAACAGGAAGCAGCUUGCUUCUUUGCUGACGAGUGGCGGACGGGUGAGUAAUGUCUGGGAAACUGCCUGAUGGAGGGGGAUAACUACUGGAAACGGUAGCUAAUACCGCAUAACGUCGCAAGACCAAAGAGGGGGACCUUCGGGCCUCUUGCCAUCGGAUGUGCCCAGAUGGGAUUAGCUUGUUGGUGGGGUAACGGCUCACCAAGGCGACGAUCCCUAGCUGGUUUGAGAGGAUGACCAGCCACACUGGAACUGAGACACGGUCCAGACUCCUACGGGAGGCAGCAGUGGGGAAUAUUGCACAAUGGGCGCAAGCCUGAUGCAGCCAUGCCGCGUGUAUGAAGAAGGCCUUCGGGUUGUAAAGUACUUUCAGCGGGGAGGAAGGGAGUAAAGUUAAUACCUUGCUCAUGACGUACCCGCA
rnacentral:rRNA from 1 species